AGCCUCCUAUAUACGUGCUGAGACUUCGUCACACACCAGACCACAAGGGUUGAUGAGACUCCCAGAAUAACUGCAGCG
rnacentral:pre_miRNA from 1 species